UACCCGCAGCACAAGUGGUGGUCAUUAUUAUUGGGCCUAAAGCGUCCGUAGCUGGCUUGUUAGAUGCCUGGGUAAAUCGAUGCGCUCAACGUAUCGAACUCCGGGUAGACCGGCAAGCUUGGGACCGGGAGAGGCGUGAGCUACUCGAGGGGUAGGGGUAAAAUCCUGUAAUCCUUCGGGGAGGACCAGUGGCGAAGGCGUCACGCUAGAACGGCUCCGACAGUGAGGGACGAAGGCCCUGGG
rnacentral:rRNA from 1 species